GCAAACUUGGUCAUUUAGAGGAAGUAAAAGUCGUAACAAGGUUUCCGUAGGUGAACCUGCGGAAGGAUCAUUCAUAAGAAGAGUGUUUUAUGGCACUCCUAAAAAAAAUCCAUACCCACCUUGUGUGCAAUGUAAAAGGAAGAGUGUUGGAUAGGGACUUGUCUCUUGAAAGCCUCUUCUUUUCUUCAUACACUUUUUUUUUACAGUCUAUUGUCUGAAAACGUUAGAGAAUCUAAUUCUUAAACACAACUUUCAACAACGGAUCUCUUGGCUCUCGCAUCGAUGAAGAACGCAGC
rnacentral:misc_RNA from 1 species